rnacentral:misc_RNA from 1 species
UCCGUGUUAACCACGGCAGUCUCUUUAGAGAGCCCAACUGAAUGCUGGCAACUAAAGACAAGGGUUGCGCUCGUUGCGGGACUUAACCCAACAUGUCACCACACGAGCUGACGACAGCCAUGCAGCACCUGUCACUUGGCUGUAUUGCUACAGAUUACGUGUCUCCACGUCGGUCCAAGGAUGUCAAACCUAGGUAAGGUUUUUCGCGUUGCUUCGAAUUAAACCACAUGAUCCACCGCUUGUGCGGGCCCCCGUCAAUUCCUUUGAGUUUUAGUCUUGCGACCGUACUUCCCAGGCGGGGUACUUAUUGCGUUAGCGCCGGCUCGGCAGGGGUCAAGACCCGCCAAGCCUAGUACCCAUCGUUUACAGCGUGGACUAC